rnacentral:rRNA from 1 species
GACGGAGGAUGCAAGCGUUAUCCGGCAUGAUUGGGCGUAAAGCGUCUGCAGGUGGCAGUUCAAGUCUGCUGUCAAAGACCGGGGCUUAACUUCGGAAAGGCAGUGGAAACUGAACAGCUAGAGUAUGGUAGGGGCAGAGGGAAUUCCUGGUGUAGCGGUGAAAUGCGUAGAGAUCAGGAAGAACAUCGGUGGCGAAGGCGCUCUGCUGGACCAUAACUGACACUCAGGGACGAAAGCUAGGGGAGCGAAUGGG